UGACCUCAAAUCAGGUAGGACUACCCGCUGAACUUAAGCAUAUCAAUAG
rnacentral:rRNA from 1 species